AGAGAGAGACAUGCGCGCAUAUCAAUAAGCGGAGGAAAAGAAACUAACGAGGGAUUCCCUUAGUAACGGCGAGUGAAGCGGGAAGAGCUCAAAUUUGAAAUCUUCAAGGUUUUACCUUGACGAAUUGUAGUUUAAAGAAGUGUUUUCUGCUGAAGUUUUGGUAAAAGUUCUUUGGAAUAGGACAUCAUAGAGGGUGAGAAUCCCGUAUUUGACCAUUAUUUUCAGCUUUGUGAUACACUUUCAAAGAGUCGGAUUGUUUGGGAAUGCAGUCCAAAAUGGGUGGUAAAUUUCAUCUAAAGCCUAAAUAUUGGCGAGAGACCGAUAGCGAACAAGUACCGUGAGGGAAAGAUGAAAAGAACUUUGAAAAGAGAGUUAAACAGUACGUGAAAUUGUCAAAAGGGAAGCGUUUGACACCAGUGUUGUUUUCUCGAAAAUCAAUUAAAAAUGGCUCGAUUUUGUAUUGUUGAGACCUUAAAAGCUCACCUGUACAUUUUUCGUGUCUUUUUUAACUGCACUUUUCGUUUAACAAGUCAACAUCAGUUUCUUUUGUUGUAAAAGGGUCAUUGGAAGGUGGCUUUCUUUUCGGAGAAAGUGUUUAUAGCCUUUGGCCUCUGCAAUCGGAGAGACUGAGGUCUGCAGCGUAGACUCUUCGGGGUUAGAUACAUUUGUGCUAAGUUAUAGCUUUUUAUAGACAACUUGUUGACUAUAAUUAGUCUUGUAGCUUACUCGCUUAUGCUAUUUUACCUACGCUUAGGAUGUUGAAGAUGUAGCACAUCAU
rnacentral:rRNA from 1 species